rnacentral:rRNA from 1 species
UACGUAGGUCCCGAGCGUUGUCCGGAUUUAUUGGGCGUAAAGCGAGCGCAGGCGGUUCUUUAAGUCUGAAGUUAAAGGCAGUGGCUUAACCAUUGUACGCUUUGGAAACUGGAGGACUUGAGUGCAGAAGGGGAGAGUGGAAUUCCAUGUGUAGCGGUGAAAUGCGUAGAUAUAUGGAGGAACACCGGUGGCGAAAGCGGCUCUCUGGUCUGUAACUGACGCUGAGGCUCGAAAGCGUGGGGAGCAAACAGGAUUAGAAACCCUGUAGUCC